rnacentral:rRNA from 1 species
GACGUAGGAGGCGAGCGUUGUCCGGAUUCAUUGGGCGUAAAGAGCACGCAGGCGGUUUGGCAAGUCGGAUGUGAAAACCCGGAGCUCAACUCCGGACCUGCAUCCGAAACUGCCCGACUAGAGGUAGGUAGGGGAGAUCGGAAUUCCUGGUGUAGCGGUGAAAUGCGCAGAUAUCAGGAGGAACACCGGUGGCGAAGGCGGCAUCCUGGACCGGCAUUGACGCUGAGGCGCGAAAGCCAGGGGAGCAAACGGG